GAUAUUAUUUGAUUUGAUAUAGGCUAUUAACUUUUCAAACAUUUUAUUAUUAUUAUUAUCAUGUUAUAGGCUUCAGCUAACUUUGUUAGAGAUAAUAAUCUUUUUUUAAUCAGAGUUUAAACUGGUUCGAAUUUUCCUAUUUCCGGCCCUUUAAAUUUAAAAGUAGGCGCGCAAAAGGCGGAACAGCAGAGAGGAUCGGCUGGAGAGAAUUGACGGUUGAAAACUGCACAAAAUUAAAGUCAAGUAGAUCCUGCUGUAAAAACCAGCAUUGACCAGCAUGAAUUCCCUUUCAGUCACUGUCUACCAACCUGCAGUCGGUUCAGCACGGUACUGUAGACAAGUGUUUUUACUUAUGUUUCAUUAUGGCAUAACAGUAAAAUAAAAAUUAUGACUAUAAUUCAAUUGGACAUUCAUCUAUGUAUUCAUUGUACAUUAUACUGCACUAACUAGUUUUAUUACUUGUCAGAAACAUCAGGCUCACAGCAACAGAUUAAGAAUAAUCCUGCAUCAAAAGAUGGCUUUAACUUGCAUGUGAGACAGAGAAGAGAAAAAGAGGAAUGAAGAUGGACUGUCUAAGAAACCUAAUGCUGAAGGCGAGCAGAAAUGAGAAAAGUUAUGCUACAGCUCUCUGUUUGCAGCACGUCAGUCACGCUCGUCGGGAAAGUUACCAUAGUCAGCUGGAUCCCCUCCAAAUCCAGAUCAGAUGCUGGACCUGCAUCUUGGCAUGACCACGACGCAAGCCUAAAUGUCAAAGAAGACCAUGUCAACUAGACAAGCCAGACAGAUUCCCUGUGAGGACUUCGUUGACAGCCAUCGGCAAAGAUCCUCAGCAAAGACCACAAGAACCAGACAAGUCCUCUGCACAGACCCCUACGGCCAGCUUCAACUCUAUGCCGGCGUGUUGUAUCUUGAUCUUCAAACUGAUGGAACCAUAUGAAAUAUUCUAGAUUAUACCAAUCCACAAUUUGACUUGUGUUGCAGCCUGAAUCACAUCACACCAUAUUCGUUCAUUGGCCAGAGAAGAACUGGUCCCUGACUGAGCCUGGUUUCUCCCAAGGUUUUUUUUUCUUCUCCAUUUUUGUAACCUGAUGGAUUUUGGGUUCCUUACCCCUGUUGCCUUUGGCUUGCUAAGUUUGGGACACUUAAUAUUCAGCAAUAAUAUUGAUUUGAUUGCACUGACACUAUCAUAUGAGAACUGAACUGAGCUGGACGAUGACAUCACUGUUUUCUGCAGAGCUGCUUUAUAACGAAUUGAACUGAUUUCAUAAUUGAUUAACUAUAUACAGCUAUUGAACAGAACUGAAUUAAAACUAUACUGACUUCAGUUGAACAA